AUUCUAUGAUUCUAUGGUACAGUAGGAUUGCAACCUUGAACCCUUAACAGCUCCCGUAGCAAAUUGUUCAGCUGUCCAGUUGUUACAGUUCACCACGGUAAUGACCACGGAAGAAAUCAUGAAAUGAGCUCCAUGCAGUCUGUUCUAACCAGCUCAGAUUGAACCUCCCCCCAUGCCUAUGGAUCAAUGGACACAACCAUGGGAAGAAAAAAGAAAAUAAAAACUUCAUAAGAAACGUAUGGUCAUUGCCACAACACACACUCACUUACUCUUUUUAUGAAAUCAAAGGGAAACGAGCUGAAGCCGGAGCUCUCUUUAAGGGGAAGAAAGCAGG